UCCCAGUUCGGAUCGCAGGCUGNAACCCGCCUGCGUGAAGUCGGAAUCGCUAGUAAUCGCGGAUCAGCAUGCCGCGGUGAAUACGUUCCCGGGCCUUGUACACACCGCCCGUCACACCAUGAGAGUCGGGAACACCCGAAGCCCGUAGCCUAACAGCAAUGAGGGCGCGGUCGAAGGUGGGUUCGAUAAUUGGGGUGAAGUCGUAACAAGGUAUC
rnacentral:rRNA from 1 species